AUUGAACGCUGGCGGCGUGCUUAACACAUGCAAGUCGAUCGGUAACGCGGGGGCAACCCUGGCGACGAGAGGCGGACGGGUGAGGAACGCUUGGGAAUCCGCCUAUCAGCGGGGGACAACCCGGGGAAACUCGGGCUAAUACCGCAUACGCUCUACGGAGGAAAGCCGGGGACCGCAAGGCCUGGCACUGAUAGAUGAGCCCAAGUCGGAUUAGUUAGUUGGCGGGGUAACGGCCCACCAAGGCGACGAUCCGUAGCUGGUCUGAGAGGACGAUCAGCCACACUGGGACUGAGACACGGCCCAGACUCCUACGGGAGGCAGCAGUGGGGAAUAUUGGACAAUGGGGGAAACCCUGAUCCAGCGACGCCGCGUGGGUGAAGAAGGCCUGCGGGUUGUAAAGCCCUUUCGGUAGGGACGAAAGCUCUCGACCUAACACGUCGGGAGGUUGACUUAACCUACAAAAGAAGCACCGGCUAACUCUGUGCCAGCCGCCGCCGUAAUAC
rnacentral:rRNA from 1 species